rnacentral:rRNA from 2 species
CGGGUGUCAGAGUAACUGUUGACGUCGUGACGGUAUUCAACCAGAAAGCCACGGCUAACUACGUGCCAGCAGCCGCGGUAAUACGUAGGUGGCAAGCGUUGUCCGGAUUUAUUGGGCGUAAAGCGAGCGCAGGCGGUUUUUUAAGUCUGAUGUGAAAGCCUUCGGCUUAACCGAAGAAGUGCAUCGGAAACUGGGAGACUUGAGUGCAGAAGAGGACAGUGGAACUCCAUGUGUAGCGGUGGAAUGCGUAGAUAUAUGGAAGAACACCAGUGGCGAAGGCGGCUGUCUAGUCUGUAACUGACGCUGAGGCUCGAAAGCAUGGGUAGCGAACAGGAUUAGAUACCCUGGUAGUCCAUGCCGUAAACGAUGAGUGCUAAGUGUUGGAGGGUUUCCGCCCUUCAGUGCUGCAGCUAACGCAUUAAGCACUCCGCCUGGGGAGUACGACCGCAAGGUUGAAACUCAAAGGAAUUGACGGGGGCCCGCACAAGCGGUGGAGCAUGUGGUUUAAUUCGAAGCUACGCGAAGAACCUUACCAGGUCUUGACAUCUUCUGCCAAUCUAAGAGAUUAGACGUUCCCUUCGGGGACAGAAUGACAGGUGGUGCAUGGUUGUCGUCAGCUCGUGUCGUGAGAUGUUGGGUUAAGUCCCGCAACGAGCGCAACCCUUAUUAUCAGUUGCCAGCAUUCAGUUGGGCACUCUGGUGAGACUGCCGGUGACAAACCGGAGGGAAGGUGGGGAUGACGUCAAAUCAUCAUGCCCCUUAUGACCUGGGCUACACACGUGCUACAAUUGAA